ensembl:misc_RNA 7SK 7SK RNA
GGACGUGAGGCCUGUCUGGCUACAUCUGUCAUCCCAAUGACUGACUAGGUUGAUUUGUUAUCUGUCUGGCUAGGCUGUUCCUGCCUCCCUUCCUCACCACCUCCCCUACACUGCUCCUACACGCUAGCUCUACCCUCAGUCAGAAAGGGUAUACACCCUUUCCUCAUUACCUGGGUAUAAGGCAGAUAGCUGUGCUCCUCCGCUAGCCUCUAAAUAUGCUCUUGAAGACAACAGAACAUAAACAAAAGGAUACCUGAGUGACAAAAAAGCAACUGAAGAUCACUGCAGAGGCAGGCCAAUGCCAUCCCGGACAGU